AUUAAAGUUAAGCACCAAGUAGGAGGAUAAGUAAGAUUUGAUGAAAAUAUAGUUUUAAUGCAAGACUGUUCAUUAAAAGUUUGUUAUUACAGAUAUUUUAGCAGAAAGACCACGUUUAAAAAGGACUGCUGUUCCCAGCUUGUUUUUGCCAUCUGCUUCCAUUGAUGAUGAAGUGAUAACCAGUGAAAAUGAGAAGACGGAGCAAAAUAAAAGAAAGAAAAAUCUUGCAUCUGAAGAGACGGAGAAACCAGAAUUUUGUGAAAGCAAAGUAUUGAAAGAAGAAAGAAAUAUAGUAGCUGAAGCUUUGCUUCAGCUUUCAGAUGUGAAUUCUGAUAGUAACUGUGCGUAAAUAUCCUUAAUUGAGCUUUAUUCAUGUUAGUUGAGAAGAAAACGGUAAAAUCAUUCUAACGAGGUUGAUUUCACUCUUAAAUUGUUGGAUUAGUGUAUAUCAUUGUGCUGAUAAGAUGAAUUUUCAACUAAUCCAAAAACAAUUUUUUUUUUUCAUUGGUGAAGAUACUUCAUAUUACAAACAUGUUAAGGAAUUUUUAUGGAGUACUAUUUUGUAGGCUUAACCACAAAUGAAUGAACAUCUCCUUUGUUACCAUGAAGAAUUCAACUUAUUUUGCUGAUAUAUUUAAAAAAAUAGAUAAUGAUAAGGCUGUAGUCUGCCAGAAAAUUCAAAUGUCUAAACUCAAAAUGAAGUAUUAUUGCCAGUGACUAAAAGAGUGCAUGGAAUUAAAUUUGUACAUCAUCAGGUAACAUAAUUAUGCAUUUGAAGAAAAAAUUACUUUAAACAUCUGACAAGGAAAUGUGUUGAUAAAGGCUGGUUGUGGAAAUAUUAGAAUUAUGCUUAUGCGUUUCAUAAUAUAUUGUUUUUAAGAAAGGACAUUUGUGAUUAACAUGACAUUAAUAUUAUUCUGCUUUUCUCCCCAAAAUUAAAAUAAUUAUAAACUUGGAAAAUAUAUACUAGUGCUGGGUAUUUCGUAAUACAGAAAAUAAAUAUAUUUUGUUUGUUGCAAGUUGGCAAUAUUUCUCAUAUUGUGUGAUUAAUAUAAUACAUGAUUUAAUAAUUGUACCUGUAUUUUUGACAAGAUAGUGAUUAUGUUGUGCCUGGCUAAUUGAUGGCCCAUGCAUGGCCAAGUGGUUUAAGAUGCUGAACAUCAUUAGUUUGAUGAAAGCUCAAAUCCAGCAAUGCAAAGAUGAUACAUUGAUGUUUUUAUAGUUUUUCUCAUGUGUAACAUGCAUAUGGACCAGUUUCCCACAGAAAAUCUUCCUCAAAAGAAACCUUCUGCUUAGGUAAAUAGUUCUCAUGUGCUUUGUUGUAUUUAAGCAGCAUAACCUGACUAAUUGAGUUGUAAUUAAAUUCAGAUUAAAAUUUUGAAGAAAAUAUUUCCCCUCCUCUAUUUUUUUUUUUUUUUUCGUGUGUGUAAAGCAUUGCACACAGCGGUAUUUUCAAAGGGAAUGAUGCCUCAUGGAAGAUUUUUAAAGGAAACUGGCUUAUAUUCACAUUACACAAAGCAUGAAAUGUCCAUGUAUGCAGCCUGUUCGUCAGGAUUCAAAUCCCAAAUAAACUAUCUGUGUUCAGUGACUUGGCUACUGGAGAGCCAAAAUAUAGAUGUUUGUGACUAAAAUAUUGUGAUUAUCACUUUUAACCCUUCAGCUGGAACUGUGAGAAAUAAUUUUUCCAUACUCAAGCAAAAUAGGAAAAUUAUCAGUACUUAUGUAUAUUAUCCUGUCAACCAUGAAAUUCAUGUGGAAUAGUAUGAUUUAGCAUUAUUUAUGGAUAAUCGCAACAUAAAGCACACUCAUAACAUCUGUACUUCUGUUUGAUGGCAAAUUGGCAAUUGUGUUUUUGCCAUUGUCUACAUCUAAAUAUCUUGCUGUUCAUACUGAAUUUUCAGUUGUCAGCAAAGAAAAUACAAAUGCAGUAGUUUCCAAAGGAAAGGAAAGCUUAGCUUAGGAGUUAUUUUUAAAAACUGUUGUAAAGCCAAAAAGAUAGGCAAUUGUAUGAAAUGUUUUACAAUAAUAAUCAGAAUUAUUUGAAAUUACAUAGGAUUUUUAUUGUAUGAUAUUUUUCUGUAUUUUUCAAAUGGGGCCACCAUCACCCUUGCUACUUUUACAAUCAAUGGUAUAAUAUGCAAGUGCUAACAUUUUCCAGAUAACUGUAUCAAUUACUGAGUUAAAAUUCUGUGGUUAUAGGAAUCAACUGCACAAAAUUCAAAACAAAACAAAUUAUGCUUUAAAGCGCAAAAAUUUUUGUUUGCACAUUAAAGCAUAAUUUGUUUAUAAUUAUGAUUUAAUGCAUAAUUAUAAACAACUUUGUCUGUAAUAACUCUGUGUGGCUGUACGACUUUUAAUCUGAUCUUGACAUUUGUUGCCAAUUCGUAUAUACUGUCUUAUUAUUUAAAAUAUUUCUCUUUCAUAUUUUCUUUAUAAUCCAAGUAACAUAUUGAUGAUUACAGGUUAUAAAAAUAAAGUAAAGUUAUUAAUCA